GCAUCGGUGGUGUAGUGGUAGUAGCACGCGUUCCCGGUAUGGUUGAAAUGCGGGUUCCAUAUCCGCCUGAGGCA